GGAGGGUGCAAGCGUUGUUCGGAAUUACUGGGCGUAAAGAGCGUGUAGGCGGCCAACCAAGUCAGAUGUGAAAUCCCUGGGCUCAACCCAGGAACUGCAUCUGAAACUGGCUGGCUAGAGUACGGGAGAGGAAGGUGGAAUUCCUGGUGUAGAGGUGAAAUUCGUAGAUAUCGGGAAGAACACCGGUGGCGAAGGCGGCCUUCUGGCCCGAUACUGACGCUGAGACGCGAAAGCGUGGGGAGCAAACAGGAUUAGAUACCCUGGUAGUCCACGCCGUAAACGUUGGGCACUAGGUGUGGGAGGUAUUUACUCCUUCCGUGCCGAAGCUAACGCAUUAAGUGCCCCGCCUGGGGAGUACGGUCGCAAGGCCCA
rnacentral:rRNA from 1 species